GAGCGUAUGGUGGAUGCCUUGACUCAAAAUGGCGAUGAAAGACGUAGCAUGGCUGCGAUAAGUUUCGGGGAGGUGCCUAGCAACCUGCGAUCCGGAAAUCUCUGAAUGGGGAAACCCUCCAACAUCUCACAGAGGUGAGAUGCUUGAAAUGUAAAAUGUAAAUAUCAAAAAUAAAAAUGACAGUUGAAAAUGUAAAAUUAUAGAAUUAAAAAUUUUUAAUUUUGCAUUGUCAUUUUACACUUUGAUUUUUAAAUUUUGAUUUUGAACAUCAAUCUUGUGUGAGGUGUUGGAACUGUGCAGAUUAUGUACAGAGUACACCCAGGGAAGUAAAACAUUUCAGUACCUGGAGGAAAAAAGACUAAUAAGAAUUGCGCAAGUAGCGGCGAGCGAAAACGCAAAAGCCCAAACCACGCACCUUACUGAGGUAAGAUGCGAGUCGAAAGUCCUUAAAGUCUGUAAAGUUAUAAAGUGAAAUGCAUUUGCAUCCCACUUUAAGGACUUUAUAAACUUUUGACUUUAUAGACUUGCAACGAACUUCGGUUAGUUGCGUGGGGUUGUAAGGCAGAAACGUCAUAAUUUAUUAUGAGAGGAGUUAAAAAAUAUUAUGUUAACUGAACGCGCUGGAAAGCGCGACCCUAGAGGGUAAUGGUCCCGUAAGUGAAAAUAUAAUAUCUUCUUUGUUUCUGUUCUUGAGUACUUCGAGACAUGAAUAGCUCGGAGGAAUUUGCCGGUACUAACCGGUAAGGCUAAAUACAUUUUGAGAUCGAUAGUGAACUAGUACCGUGAGGGAAAGGUGAAAAGAAGUCCGAUUAGGACAGUGAAAUAGAUCUGAAACCAUAUGCUUACAAGGAGUCAGCGCGGCGUCUCACUGCGUUCGACACCGCUUAAAUGUAAAAAUAAGAAAUCAAAGUGUAAAAUGAAAAUUCUCAGAAUUUAAUUUUUCAUUUUGAUAUUUUCAUUUUGAAUUUAGGUGGCGAACGAAGUGAGGCGCCGUCAUGGCGUGCCUAUUGAAGAAUGAGCCAACGAGUUGUACUACGCGGUUCGACUAAGCCCUUCAUCGGGGUGGAGUCACAGGGAAACCGAGUGUGAAUAGCGCGCUUCUAUAUUUAUUUAUAGUAUCGUGUGGUACAGACCCGAAGCCAGAGCGAGCUUGUCAUGAGCAGGGUGAACAAGGGAGAAAUCCCUUGGGAGGCCCGAACCGUUUAGCCGUGCAAUACUACCGGAUGACUUGUGAUAAGAAGUGAAAAGCUAAUCGAGCCUGGUAAUAGCUGGUUCUCUCCGAAAUAGCUUUUGGGCUAGCGUCGUACGUAUCCUUCCGGGGUAGAGCACUGGAAGGUCUCAACAGGGAGCAAUCUCGUGAGACCUAUCAAACUCCGAAUACGGAAGAUUAAAUAUACGGCAGUUAGACGGUGGGGGCUAAGCUCCACACGUCAAAAAGGAAACAGCCUAGAUCUCUAUUUAAGGUCCCUAAAUCUAUGUUAAGUACACUUAAGGUGGUGGAUUUUCUCAAACACUGAGGAGGUUGGCUUAGAAGCAGCCAUCCUUUAAAGAUAGCGUAACAGCUCACUCAGUAAGAGAAUCCGCGCCGCAAAUAAUCGGGGUUAAACAUAGUACCGAAACUGAGGGUUUCGUUCGCAUCUCACUGUGUUCGAGGCGAACUAAAUGUAAAAUGUAAAUAUCAAAAAUCAAAAUGACAGUUAAAAAUGUAAAAUUAAGGAAUUUCGAGAAUUAAAAUUUUUAAUUUUGCAUUGUCAUUUUACACUUUGAUUUUUCAAUUUUAAAUUUAGCAAGCAUCGAGUGUAGCGAGAUGCGAGCGGAGCGGUAGGAGAGUAUUCGCAUCUGCUGUGAAGGUGAAGGGGUGACCCACGCUGGAGCGUUGUGAAGUAAGAAUGUUGGCACAAGUAACCACAAUGAAGGUGAGAACCCUUCACGCCGAAAGACUAAGGUUUCCUGUUCAAUGUCAAUCAGAGCAGGGUUAGUCGGGCCUAAGGCAAUGGAGAGAUCCGCAGCCGAUGGACAUCGGGUUAAUAUUCCCGAACUUUCUGUGUGUGCGAUGGAAUGACGGAGUGUAGUAUGUUGAGCUCAUUAUUGGAUUUGAGUAAAUGUUAGAAGGUAGUCGUGUAGGAAAAUCCGCACGAGCUCUUAAUUGAGAAUACCAAUUAACAUUUAAACCUGGCGAUACGUCAAAAGGGAUUCAACAAAGCACGCUUCCAAGAAAAUUUUCUAAGCAUAACACGCAGAAAUCCGUACCGUAAACCGACACAGGUAGUCAGCUCGAGUAGAGUAAGGCGAACGAGUGAGAGAUCCCCAAGGAACUCGGCAAAAAAGCAGCCGUAACUUCGGAAUAAGGCUUACCUUGUGCGUAGCACAAGGAAUUUCAAAGCUCAAAUUUCAAAUUUCCAAUCAAAUUCAAAAUUUAAAUUUCAAAAUUAAAAACUUUGUCAUUUGGAUUUUGUAAUUGAUUUGUCAUUUGGAUUUUGUAAUUUGGAUUUCCUCGCGCUGCGUGCGAGGUUGCAACAAAAGUCUCUCUGGCAACUGUUUAUCAAAAACACAGCUCCCUGCGAACUCGCAAGAGGAUGUAUAGGGGGUGAUGCCUGACCAAUGCCAGAAGGUCAAAUAUGGUAACUGAAAAUCGCAAGAUUGUAGGCUGACUAUAUAAGCCCUGGUGAAUGUCGGCCGUAACUAUAGACUGGACUGUUGUAGUUACAAAAAAUUCUGCUAUAUGCUGGAAAAUCCGAGAAUCUAACAGUACUCACUUGGCGGUUUAACCACCAAGUAGUGAAAAUCUGUUCAGCGCGGACAAUCAGCAGGGAAGAUCCUGAGAGAAAUCGAAGGAAACCCUCAGAGACUAUACGCAGAACUCCGAGAGAAAUCGAGGAGAUGAUAUAGUCCGAUCUCAUUGGCGACAAUGAGUUAACAAUAGAAAGUUUUUGAUGAUAAAAUAAAGUUGUGCAUCAUUAUACAAAAAACUACACAAAAUGAACGGUAAUUUUGCUACGCCCAGCACUUUCUAAGAAAGUGCCGGGAAACAAAAAGGGCCGUUCUAAAAUUUGGCCAAAUGCUGGAAAACUCGCAAUGAACUUUUGGUACCUUGACGGUAAAAAUCCAAAAGCCGACGCGAACAAUCAGCAGGAAAGAUUCUAAGAGUGUCAUCUAACACAAUGAAAAAAGAAAAACAUAAAGAAUAUUAUGACCGUCUAUCAAAACUACCUGGAAAAUAUUUAAACUAUUUCAUGGCUGGAUUUGUAGAUGGUGAGUCUAGUUUCAGUGUCGCGAUGACAAAACAAAAAUAUUACGUCUAUUCAGAUGGCACGGGCCAAGGAUGGAAAUGGAUAUUAAAUCCUUGUUUUCAAGUUUAUCAACAUGAAAACAAUGUAGAUGUGCUUCUCCUUCUUAAAGAUCAUGUCUUUAAAACUGGAAGAAUACACCGCAAGACGUCACCAUAUAAUGUGAUGACGUACACGGUUGAAAAUCACAAGACUCUUCAAGAAAAAAUAAUUCCGUUUUUCAGAAAAUAUCGUUUAGCGACGAAAACACAAGAUUUUGAGAAAUUCACCGAUAUUAUAGAUAGGAUUAUGAAAAAGGAGCAUUUAACUAUUGGAGGGUUCAAACGAAUUGUAGACAUAGCAUUUACUAUGAAUGCUCAAGGUAAAAACAGAAAAUAUUCAAAAGAAUAUAUUUCUGAAACAUUAUCAGAACAAUUCGACACUCUUAGAAAAUCCUCAGAGACUACACGCCAAAAUCAGAAUAUUAAAACUGAUAAGAUAUAGUCCAUAAGGUUAUAUGAAAGUAUAAUAUUGCCUAAGGUAGCGAAAUUCCUUGUCGGGUAAGUUCCGACGUGCACGAAUGGUAUAAUGACUGGAGAACUGUCUCGGGGAUUUGCUCGGUGAAAAUA
rnacentral:ncRNA from 1 species